rnacentral:rRNA from 1 species
UACGUAGGGUCCGAGCGUUGUCCGGAAUUACUGGGCGUAAAGAGCUCGUAGGUGGUUUGUCGCGUUGUUCGUGAAAACUCACAGCUUAACUGUGGGCGUGCGGGCGAUACGGGCAGACUUGAGUACUGCAGGGGAGACUGGAAUUCCUGGUGUAGCGGUGAAAUGCGCAGAUAUCAGGAGGAACACCGGUGGCGAAGGCGGCUUGCUGGGCCUUACCUGACGCUGAGGAGCGAAAGCGUGGGGAGCGAACAGG